AGUGAACGCUGGCGGUAGGCCUAACACAUGCAAGUCGAACGGCAGCACAGGAGAGCUUGCUCUCUGGGUGGCGAGUGGCGGACGGGUGAGGAAUACAUCGGAAUCUACUCUGUCGUGGGGGAUAACGUAGGGAAACUUACGCUAAUACCGCAUACGACCUACGGGUGAAAGCAGGGGACCUUCGGGCCUUGCGCGAUUGAAUGAGCCGAUGUCGGAUUAGCUAGUUGGCGGGGUAAAGGCCCACCAAGGUGACGAUCCGCAGCUGGUCUGAGAGGAUGAUCAGCCACACUGGAACUGAGACACGGUCCAGACUCCUACGGGAGGCAGCAGUGGGGAAUAUUGGACAAUGGGCGCAAGCCUGAUCCAGCCAUACCGCGUGGGUGAAGAAGGCCUUCGGGUUGUAAAGCCCUUUUGUUGGGAAAGAAAUCCAGCUGGCUAAUACCCGGUUGGGAUGACGGUACCCAAAGAAUAAGCACCGGCUAACUUCGUGCCAGCCGCCGCCGUAA
rnacentral:rRNA from 1 species